rnacentral:rRNA from 1 species
CAACAGGGAUUGCCUCAGUAACGGCGAGUGAAGCGGCAACAGCUCAAAUUUGAAAUCUGGCUCCUUCGGGGUCCGAGUUGUAAUUUGUAGAAGAUGCUUUGGGUGCGGCCCCGGUCUAAGUUCCUUGGAACAGGACGUCAUAGAGGGUGAGAAUCCCGUAUGUGACUAGGUGCCCGCGCCCGUGUAAAGCUCUUUCGACGAGUCGAGUUGUUUGGGAAUGCAGCUCAAAAUGGGUGGUAUAUUUCAUCUAAAGCUAAAUAUUGGCCAGAGACCGAUAGCGCACAAGUAGAGUGAUCGAAAGAUGAAAAGCACUUUGGAAAGAGAGUUAAACAGUACGUGAAAUUGUUGAAAGGGAAGCGCUUGCAAUCAGACUUGCGCGCCGUUGAUCAUCCCGGGUUCUCUCGGGUGCACUCUGCGGCGCUCAGGCCAGCAUCGGUUCGGGUGGUGGGAUAAAGGCCUUGGGAAUGUGGCUCCUCUCGGGGAGUGUUAUAGCCCUCGGUGCAAUGCCGCCUACCUGGACCGAGGACCGCGCUUCGGCUAGGAUGCUGGCGUAAUGGUUGUAAGCGACCCGUCUUGAAACACGGACCAAGGAGUCUAACAUCUAUGCGAGUGUUUGGGUGUUAAACCCAUACGCGGAAUGAAAGUGAACGUUGGUAAGAACCCGUUAGGGUGCAUUAUCGACCGAUCCUGAUGUCUUCGGACGGAUUUGAGUAUGAGCAUAGCUGUUGGGACCCGAAAGAUGGUGAACUAUGCCUGAAUAGGGUGAAGCCAGAGGAAACUCUGGUGGAGGCUCGCAGCGGUUCUGACGUGCAAAUCGAUCGUCAAAUUUGGGUAUAGGGGCGAAAGACUAAUCGAACCAUCUAGUAGCUG